rnacentral:rRNA from 1 species
AGAGUUUGAUCCUGGCUCAGGAUGAACGCUGGCGGCAUGCCUAACACAUGCAAGUCGAACGGACCUUUAUUUUUGAGAGUUCCUUUAUAGAAAUUCUCAAAAUACUGGUUAGUGGCGGACGGGUGAGUAACACGUUGGUACCUACCCUCUAGUGGGGAAUAACUUCGAGAAAUCGAGGCUAAUACCGCAUGUGGUCUACGGAUCAGAGCAGUAAUGCGCUAGAGGAGGGGCCUGCGUCUGAUUAGCUUGUUGGUGAGGUAAAAGCUCACCAAGGCGACGAUCAGUAGCUGGAUCGAGAGGUUGACCAGCCACACUGGGACUGAGAUACGGCCCAGACUCCUACGGGAGGCAGCAGUGAGGAAUCUUCCACAAUGGACGAAAGUCUGAUGGAGCAAUGCCGCGUGCAGGAUGACGGCCUUCGGGUUGUAAACUGCUUUUAUAUGGGAAGAUUAUGACGGUACCAUAUGAAUAAGGACCGGCUAACUACGUG